AGAAUCAACGCUGGCGGCGUGCCUAACACAUGCAAGUCGAACGCGAAAGUGGAGCAAUCCAUUAGUAGAGUGGCAAACGGGUGAGUAACACGUGGGUGACCUGCCUUCGAGCGGGGGAUAACGUCCCGAAAGGGACGCUAAUACCGCAUAACAUCCUGCCUUUUAAGAGGUGGAGAUCAAAGCCGGGGAUUCGCAAGAACCUGGCACUUGAAGAGGGGCCCGCGCCUGAUUAGCUAGUUGGUGGGGUAAUGGCCUACCAAGGCAACGAUCAGUA
rnacentral:rRNA from 1 species